rnacentral:lncRNA from 1 species
UUUAGCUACUGUUCAUUAGUUGAUGCUGAAACUGUUCUUACUGAAGUUUGAUUGAUAGCCUUAGACUGCCUUCUGCUUCAAAUUGAGGGUGACACCAUUGACUCUCCUGGUUCUCAGACCUCUGGAUAUGAGAUCUCUGGUGCAACUCACUCGACUUGCACCAAACAUUCUUAAAAUGUUUAUUGGGGUCAAGUGCAAUGGCUUGCACCUGCAAUCCCAGCGCUUUGGGAGGCCAAGGCAGGAGGACUGCUUGAGGCCAGGAGGUCAAGACCAGCCUGUACAACAAGACAGUUUGGCCAGGAAGUGACCGGCAAUGGAAAGAGGGAAAUAAUCAGCACAUCCCCAUGUGCGCCCAUCUCAGAGACACAAACUGAAUAACAACUCACUUGGCUUCAUAACCAAGACCUACUCUGAGGAAUUUCAUCUCUUCCUUGGAGACCUUGAUUGGCCUGCUAGGUUAAAGUAGAGACAGGAUUUCACCAUGUCGCCCAGGCUGAUCUCAGACUCCUGACCUGGAUCUUCCCACCUCAGCCUCUGAACGUGUUGGAUUACAGUUGAAGGUCUGGAAUUGAAACUCCUAUUGUGAUCUUGAGGGCUGUAACCCAGAGAAUCUGGUUCUUCCUGGAGUAUUUCAGCAGGGAUCAGCUUAAAUAAGUCCACUUGAAGUUCACAACUGCCAAAACCGCGUGUUCAGACUGAAAGGCUGGGAGCAUUUGAGACGCAUUUAUGAACUUCCACCAAGAUGAUCCGGCCGGCUGAAAUCACAGGGAGAGCGUCUGUUCAACAAACCCUUUCUUCUUGAUUGAAUUAGUGUUGCCCACUAACAGGAUGAGGAAUUCCCACUCCACAACCUGACUUUUUUUCCUCUUUCCACCUCCCGCCUCUCUCCAUCAAAAUGUAAACUUGAUUCCUGUGUCCUUUGCCGGAGCCUGGCUUCCCUGUAAGCCCAUCAUAAACAUCUUGGUAGAAAUGCAA